rnacentral:lncRNA from 1 species
CUUUGGGCCUUUUGCUGGACAUUCUUUUCCUCAGGUUCCUCUCCAUUUCCAACCCUGCAGUUCUUUCAGACAGGAACAAAUAUGGGUCAAAGUUUUCAACUGAUACCCUGUCAUCCUCCUGGAGGUGGGCUCUAAACUGAAGUCAUGAUAUGGAGCUACCAUAUUGCUUUUUAAAACAUCUAGCAGAGUCAAUGGGGUGAGCAGACCGUUGCGGCAGUCUUGACAUACACUGCAAUUUAUCUUCUGAUGUUCCUCAAAUUCUUCCAUGCAAUGUUUUUGCAGGCAUGCAGUCUUUGAAUGAAUAUAAGCUUUAUAUGAGCAAAUUAAUUACAUUUACACUCCAAAAAUAAUCCAACCUGGUUGUAAUAUGAAGGACUCAUAAGGGACAAGAAUGAACAAAGGGACAAAGAGACAAGUUGAUAAACAAGUGUGGUGAAAAUAUGAGAUUAUGAUGAUGGCAGUGAGGAUGGAUUCCAGACGAAUUUGUAGAAGAGAUUCACAGGAUUCGAUGUGGAAGGCAAAGAGUGGUGAGCAGGUGACUCUCCGGAAUGAAUUUGCUGAUGCUGAAAUGAUGAUGUGAGAGCUGCA